GAUUAACGCUGGCGGCGUGCAUAACACAUGCAAGUCGAACGAUGAAACUUUAAUGACCCCUUCGGGGAGAAUUAAAGCGGAUUAGCGGCGAACGGGUGAGUAACGCGUGAGUAACCUGCCUUACACAAGGGGAUAGCCUUUGGAAACGAAGAAUAAUACCCUAUAAAACCAUAAAAGCACAUGCAAUUAUGGUCAAAGUGAUAGCGGUGUAAGAUGGACUUGCGUCUGAUUAGCUAGUUGGUGAGAUAAAAGCCCACCAAGGCAACGAUCAGUAGCCGGCUUGAGAGAGUGUACGGCCACAUUGGGACUGAGACACGGCCCAGACUCCUACGGGAGGCAGCAGUGGGGAAUUUUGCACAAUGGGGGAAACCCUGAUGCAGCGACGCCGCGUGAUUUAGAAGGCCUUCGGGUUGUAAAAAUCUUUUGUAUAGGAAGAAAAUGACAGUACUAUACGAAUAAGGUCCGGCUAAUUACGUG
rnacentral:rRNA from 1 species